GUCGUGAGAUGUUGGGUUAAGUCCCGCAACGAGCGCAACCCUCAUCUUCAGUUGCCAUCAGGUUAAGCUGGGCACUCUGGAGAAACUGCCGGUGACAAGCCGGAGGAAGGCGGGGAUGACGUCAAGUCCUCAUGGCCCUUACGGGCUGGGCUACACACGUGCUACAAUGGCGGUGACAGCGGGCGGCGAAGGUGCGAGCCUGAGCCAAUCCCGAAAAGCCGUCUCAGUUCGGAUUGCACUCUGCAACUCGAGUGCAUGAAGUUGGAAUCGCUAGUAAUCGCGGAUCAGCAUGCCGCGGUGAAUACGUUCCCGGGCCUUGUACACACCGCCCGUCACGCCAUGGGAGUUGGUUUUACCCGAAGGCGGUUUUGCUGACCCAGCAAUGGGGGGCAGCCGACCACGGUAAGGUCAGCGACUGGGGCGAAGUCGUAACAAGGUAGCCGUAGGGGAACCUGCGGCUGGAUCACCUCCUUUCUGGGUCUGGAGGAAGAGCCGGCACCCGCCAGGGUGCAGGCAGACUUUCUCCGGGUACCAUCACACUAUGCCGAAGGUGGCCUGAGGCCGCCGUCCCCGCAUCCCUUCUCCCACGGAAAAUGAGCGACGAGAUCGGGCUAGUAGCUCAGUUGGUUAGAGCGCGCGCUUGAUAAGCGUGAGGUCGGAAGUUCAAGUCUUCCCUGGCCCACCACAGACCGGAUGUCAGAUGACAGGCAUCAGGGAUCAGGCGGCGCGCUUUCUUCUGAUGCCUGGCAUCUGCUCUCUGGCAUCUGGCCUUGGGGCCGUAGCUCAGCUGGGAGAGCGCCUGCUUUGCAAGCAGGAGGUCACCGGUUCGAUCCCGGUCGGCUCCACCAGGAGCAGGCAUCAGGGAUCGGGCAUCAGGUAUCAGAGCUUCCGUGGGAUGAAGAUAGAAAUUGGACGCGAUUGGGCCGGGGUCUUCUGAUCCCUGAUGCCUGAUCCCGGUCCUCUGGUUUUGAUGUUUUACAUUGUGGAUAGGAAUGCGACUGGCCGUUGGCGGUGGUUGGCUUGUGUUGUGCGCUCGAUCGGGAGAUGGGGCGCUGGACGAGGAACCGGAUUGUCAUCGGCCAGGCGGGUAAAACUAAGAUGAAGUGCUGAGUGUUAAGUCGAGGCUUUUGCGGUCGUGGAUGGAGGCUUUGCUCUCUGUGUGCGAUGGAAGGGCUUCGGAUCAAGCGUUUAAGGGCAUUUGGUGGAUGCCUUGGCACUGAGAGGCGAUGAAGGACGUGGCACGCUGCGAAAAGCCGCGGGGAGGGGCGAGCACCCUUUGAUCCGCGGAUCU
rnacentral:sRNA from 1 species